rnacentral:rRNA from 2 species
GUUUGAUCAUGGCUCAGGAUGAACGCUAGCGGCAGGCUUAACACAUGCAAGUCGAGGGGUAACAGAGGUAGCUUGCUACUUGCUGACGACCGGCGCACGGGUGCGUAACGCGUAUAGAAUCUACCUUAUAGUAAAGGAUAGCCCAGAGAAAUUUGGAUUAAUACUUUAUAGUAUCAAAAGACAGCAUUGUUUUAUGAUUAAAGAUUUAUCGCUAUAAGAUGACUAUGCGUUCUAUUAGCUAGUUGGUAUGGUAACGGCAUACCAAGGCUACGAUAGAU